GUUGUCCAGAAAAUGAAUUCUAGUUCAGCUUUAAAAAUACCAAAAAUAUAAACAAAUUAUAAUGUAUUUUUAAAAGUUAGUCUAAAAAGGUACAGCCUUUUAGAAAUGGAUACAACCUUAACUAGAGAGUAAAACUUAAUAUCAAACCAUAGUGGGCCUAAAAGCAGCCACCAAUUAAGAAAGCGUUAAAGCUCAACAAUAAAAUAAUGCUAAUUCCAAUAAUAAAUAAUCAACUCCUAGUCUAAUACUGGACUAAUCUAUUGAAAAUAGAAGCAAUAAUGUUAAUAUGAGUAACAAGAAGCAACUUCUCCCCGCAUAAGUUUAAGUCAGUACCUGAUAAUAUUCUGACUAUUAACAGCAAAAUAAGAGAAACCUAACAAUAAAUAACUUAUUAACUACACUGUUAAUCCGACACAGGAGUGCACCCAAGGAAAGAUUAAAAGAAGUAAAAGGAACUCGGCAAACACUAAACCCCGCCUGUUUACCAAAAACAUCACCUCCAGCAUAACUAGUAUUGGAGGCACUGCCUGCCCAGUGACAACCGUUAAACGGCCGCGGUAUCCUG
rnacentral:rRNA from 1 species